CAAAUGUGCUAUCAGGAGCAGUGCUGUCAAUCAAUACAGCUCUCUGCAAGAGGAAGAGGACACCUAUGUGUAUCUCCUACAAUCAUGGCAUAGAAGAGUGAGCAUGGCAGAGAACGCAGGGGGUAUGGCAGGGAA